GACGAACGCUGGCGGCGUGCCUAACACAUGCAAGUCGAACGGGGUUAAGGAAGCUUGCUUCUUUAACUUAGUGGCGAACGGGUGAGUAACGCGUGAGAAACCUGCCUUUCAGUGGGGGACAACAGUUGGAAACGACUGCUAAUACCGCAUAACAUAUUCGGGGGGCAUCCCCUGAAUAUCAAAGCUUAAUGUGCUGAAAGAUGGUCUCGCGUCUGAUUAGCUAGAUGGCGGGGUAGCGGCCCACCAUGGCGACGAUCAGUAGCCGGUCUGAGAGGAUGAACGGCCACAUUGGGACUGAGAUACGGCCCAG
rnacentral:rRNA from 1 species